CCUACGGGUGGCUGCAGUAGGGAAUAUUGGACAAUGGGGGCAACCCUGAUCCAGCCAUGCCGCGUGCAGGAAGACUGCCCUAUGGGUUGUAAACUGCUUUUGUACGGGAAGAAACCUUCGAAUGCGUUCGGAGUUGACGGUACCGUGAGAAUAAGGAUCGGCUAACUUCGUGCCAGCAGCCGCGGUAAUACGAAGGAUCCAAGCGUUGUCCGGAUUUACUGGGUUUAAAGGGUGCGUAGGCGGUUAAUUAAGUCAGUGGUGAAAGCCCUCAGCUU
rnacentral:rRNA from 1 species